rnacentral:rRNA from 1 species
ACAGUUCGGGCUGGGCGACUCUAAAGGGACUGCCGGUGUUAAACCGGAGGAAGGUGGGGAUGACGUCAAGUCCUCAUGGCCUUUAUGACCAGGGCGUACACACGUACUACAAUGGCCGAUACAAAGGGCAGCGACACUGCGAGGUGAAGCCAAUCCCGUAAAAUCGGUCUCAGCCCGGAUUGGAGUCUGCAACUCGACUCCAUGAAGUUGGAAUCGCUAGUAAUCGUGGAUCAGUAUGCCACGGUGAAUACGUUCCCGGGCCUU